rnacentral:sRNA from 1 species
GCUGGGUGUGGUGGUGCACGCCUGCAAUUUCAGUGGCUCGGGAGGCUGAGACAGGAGGAUCGUGAGUUCAGAGCCAGUUUCAGCAAAAGCAAGGCACUAAGCAAUUCAGUGAGACCCUGUCUCUA